ACAAACUUGGUCAUUUAGAGGAAGUAAAAGUCGUAACAAGGUUUCCGUAGGUGAACCUGCGGAAGGAUCAUUAAAGAGUUUGGAUUUAUCCUACUCAUCAUCAAUUGUGAACUUUUAAAUGUUGCUUUGAUAAAUCAGACUUUGUCGUCUGGGUACCUUUGGGUCCUAGAUAGUAUUUAUCAAGGGUUAAAAUCUUAUUACUUAUUAUCUGAUCAACUUAAAAGACAAUACAACUUUCAACAAUGGAUCUCUUGGCUCUGACAUCGAUGAAGAACGCAGC
rnacentral:misc_RNA from 1 species